rnacentral:rRNA from 1 species
AUUGAACGCUGGCGGCAGGCCUAACACAUGCAAGUCGAGCGGAGCGGCGGACGGGUGAGUAAUGCCUAGGAAUCUGCCUGGUAGUGGGGGGUACCGUCCGGAAACGGGCGCUAAUACCGCAUACUAUCAGAUGAGCCUAGGUCGGGUUAGCUAGUUGGUGGGGUAAAGGCCUACCAAGGCGACGAUCCGUAACUGGGCUGAGAGGAUGAUCAGUCACACUGGAACGGAUACACGGUCCAGAGUCCUACGGCAGGCAGCAGUGGGGAAUAUUGGACAAGGGGCGAAGGCCUGAUCCACCCAGGCCGCGUGUGAGAAGAAGGUUUUCGGAUUGUAAAGCACGUUAAGUGGGGAGGCGGUACCAACAGAAUAAGCACCGGCUAACUUCGUGCCAGCAGCCGCGGUAAUUC